rnacentral:rRNA from 1 species
AACGCGAAGAACCUUACCAGGUCUUGACAUCUGCCUGACGUGGCCGUAACGGGCCAUUCCCUUCGGGGCAGGCAAGACAGGUGGUGCAUGGUUGUCGUCAGCUCGUGUCGUGAGAUGUUGGGUUAAGUCCCGCAACGAGCGCAACCCUUAUCCUUAGUAGCCAGCGGUUCGGCCGGGCACUCUAGGGAGACUGCCGGGGAUAACCCGGAGGAAGGUGGGGAUGACGUCAAAUCAUCAUGCCCCUUAUGAUCUGGGCUACACACGUGCUACAAUGGUGGUAACAAAGGGAGGCAGCCCUGUGAAGGUGAGCAAAUCCCAAAAAAGCCAUCCCAGUUCGGAUUGUAGUCUGCAACUCGACUGCAUGAAGCUGGAAUCGCUAGUAAUCGCGAAUCAGAAUGUCGCGGUGAAUACGUUCCCGGGUCUUGUACACACCG